rnacentral:lncRNA from 1 species
AACUCUUCACCUGAUUUAUCUUUCUCAAUAAAAUCCAUAUAUUUUUUUUCUACUAGGACCUGAAUUUAUUUUUUUCCUUUUGGAGGUAAAAUUUUUUUUGGAAAGGCCUUACAUUUUCUCAGUUUGAGCUGAUAUUGAUCAGCUACUGAGCAUUGGGUGAAAAUUCAAACAUAGGCAUUCCCGCUGUGGUCUAGGUUGCAGAUGUGGCUCAGAUUUGAUCCCUGGCCUAGAAAUUUUGAUAUGCUUCUGGUGCUGCCAUAAAAGGAAAGAUAAAAAUCAAACAUCAUCAUCUGAGAAUUCUGGAUUUUUCAUUUUCUUCCCUCUAAAGUGAUAUGACAGUAAUUUGCUCUCAUGGAUUUAUGGGGACUGGGUUAUCUGAAUAAAUAACACUUUUUCCCUGGUAUAGCGAGGGGCUGAAUCCUUGAAGAAUGGGAAAUGCUCUAUAAUUGCCCCAAAGUGGAGGGUUUUUUUGUUGUUGUUGUUUUUUUUUUUUUUUUCCUGAACCCACCGUGGAUGAAACUAACACAAUACUUCAAGCAGAUUACAUUAAAGGAGUAGAAAUGAAAAGAGAACUAUCUUUUUCUGUAAAACAGGGUCAGACUAAAAAGAGAACUCUAAAGGCAGCUGUCAAGAUGGAAAUCGAUCCAAGUUUUAAAAAAAGAUGCCGUGGCAGAAAGUUACAAGAAAGGGAGGCCGAUCAUCAAGGAGGAACCGUCAUCCUUCUGAUGGAGAGUGGCCCAUCGUUUCCAGAAUUUUGGUCCCUGAUUUAUUAAUCCCUCCCCACACCCCCCACAGGACCAGAGCACUGCACGUUUAUCUUCGGCACAUUUGUCAGAUCUGUGAUCUGCCUGUUAAGACCGCUGAUGACAAUCCAGUCUUUUUAUCUGUCUCCCGACGUCCCCUACAAAGGCUUCUGUUUAAAAGUGUGUUAGCAUGCUCCUUGCAGCAUCCUCCAAAUGCCACUUGCUGGCUCUCAGGCAGCUAAUGAGACACAUCCCAUGUCUGGCAGAACGGGGGUGUGAAUUCUCUCCAGACCUGCGUCCCGCCUUGUGACAUGGGCCAGGUGGCCUUGAAAUAAAAAGAGAAAGAUUGGCACCUGAUACCUGAUAUUUCUCCUGAUACUUGGCUGAGGCUCUUUGUGUGUGUGGUGUGUGCUGUAGGUAUUGGUUUGUGUGCUCCGACAUGUUUAAAACUGCGGAACACCUCACACCAGUCAGAAUGGCUCUCAUCAAAAAGCCUCCAAUAAUACAUGCUGGAGAGGAUGUAGAGAAAAGGGAACCUGACUGCACUGUGGGUGGGAAUGUAAAUUGGUGCAGCCACUAUGGAAAACAGGGUGGAGGUUCCAUAAAAAUAGAACUAAAUUUAGAAUUUAAUUUUAAAAAAUAGGAUUACCAUAUGAUCCAGCACUCCCUCUCAUGGGCAUAUAUCCAGAGAAAACUCUCAAUUUGAAAAAAAUCCAGGCACCCUAAUGUUCACAGCAGUUUACAAUAACCAAGACAUGGAAGCAACCCAGGUGUCUACAGAUAGAUGAACGGAUAAAGAAGUGUGGUGUAUACACACACACACACAGGAACAGGACUCAGGCAUAAAAAGGAACAAAAUAAUCCCAUUUGCAGCAACGUGGAAGCACCUAGAGAUGAUCAUACUAAGGGAAGUAAGUCAGAAGGAGAAAGACACAUAUUACAUGAUAUCACUUAUAUGUAGGACGUUUUAAAUAUGAUAAACACGCACUUCUUUAUAAAACAGAAAACAUACUCACAGACAUAGAAAACAAAAUAUAUGGUUACCAAAGGGGAAAAGGGGUGUCGUGUUCUCUGCAUGUGGGUGGAAAAAGAAUUUUCUGGAUUCAAAGCAAGGUGUAGAAAAGACAAGUUUAUUGAGGCAAGAGACACUGUUAACACAGCAGGCUGACUUCCCGAUAAUCAAGGAGAGCCAACCCUGGGCACAUGGUGGUGUCUGUUUUUGUAGCCCAGAGACAAUGGUGUGCAAGAAGAGGUCUUGCCACUCACCUGUUGAUCUGCUGUCUGGUUGGGGAAGGCUGGGGUCUUCUGAUACACCUGCUAGUCAGUUGGGGAAGGAUGGGACUUCUGAUAAACCUGCUGGUUGUUGGGGAAUGAUGGGGUCUUCGGAUAGACUUACUGCUCAUUUGGGGAAGGAUGGGUCUUCUGAUACACUUGCUGGUUGUUUGGGGGUGUAUGUUGCCCCUAUAGGGGCUGGGUGAGGCGUGGGCACACCCAUGUCCUGGUAGCGGGCAGGAAGGAGCAGCCAGGUUGCUGGGGUGGGGAGGUCCUUAGGAACAUUGGAACACUUACAGUGAGACAGGUGGGAUGAUAAGGGUCUGGUAAUUCUUAUUUCCAGGCUUUUUGAGUUUUAUCUCUUUGAAGAGGCCUUGACAUCCCACAUGAAGUCCCACAAGGGGUGGGGGAUGAUUUAGGAGUUUGGGAUUAACAGAUACCCACAAAAUAGAUAAACAACAAGGACCUACUGUAUAGCACAGGGAACUGUAUUAAGUAUUUUUUUAAAACCCACAAGGGAAAAGAAUCUGAAAAAUCUGAAAAAGAUAAUGUGUAUACACACACAUGUAUGUUCAGUUAUACAUGUGCAUAUAUAUUCAGUAAAUAUACGUAACUGAAUCACUUUGCUGUUCACUUGAAACAAGCACAACAUUGUAAAUUAACUAUACUUCAAUAACGUUUUUUAAUAAAAUAUUUCCAUUUUAAAAAGAGGCUUGUUGGAGUUCCCAUUGUGGCUUAACGGUUAAUGAAUUUGACUAGGAACCAUGAGGUUGCAAGUUCAAUCCCUGGCCUUGCUCAAUGGGUUAAGGAUCUGGUAUUGCUGUGGCUGUGGUGUAGACGGGUGGCUACAGCUCUGAUUAGACCCCUAGCUUGGGAACCUCCAUAUGCUGCGGGUGUGGCCC